UAAAAAGGUCUUACUGUUUUUAUCUGGACUAGUGGCAUUUAACGCUGAUAGCCGAGACCAAACAGCCGUGAUGGAUCCUCAUUGAUCAUUUCCCAUCCACGCAAGAAGAAAAAAAAAAGGUUAAUGGAGAAGUUUUGGCGGCGCGGAUGCUGGAUGUGGGGCAGCACCCGGGGCUCCUGGAGCUCAGCCGUUGAGGAGCCGUGGCCCCUCAUCCUUCUCCUCACCCAGGUGCCGCCCACCUCCAUCCACCAUUUUACCAACAACUGAG